rnacentral:pre_miRNA from 1 species
UAAGCUCAUGGAUGUGAAAUUGACUCUAGUAGGGAGUCCGUUUAACACGCGACUCCCUAAUCGAGUCAGGUUGACUUCUUUGAGGCUUUCUCGA